CGAAGGAUGCAAGCGUUAUCCGGAUUCAUUGGUUUAAAGGGUGCGUAGGCGGACUUGUAAGUCAGUGGUGAAAUCUCUCAGCUUAACUGAGAAACUGCCAUUGAUACUGCAGGUCUAGAGUAUAGAUGACGUUGGCGGAAUAUGACAUGUAGUGGUGAAAUACUUAGAUAUGUCAUAGAACACCGAUUGCGAAGGCAGCUAACGAAACUAUAACUGACGCUGAGGCACGAAAGUGCGGGGAUCAAACAGGAUUAGAUACCCUGGUAGUCCGCACCGUAAACGAUGAUUACUCGUUGUUGGCGAUAUGACAGUCAGCGACCAAGCGAAAGCGAUAAGUAAUCCACCUGGGGAGUACGCCGGCAACGGUG
rnacentral:rRNA from 1 species